CUCGUUCCUUCCCUUCGUAUCGCGUGCUCGCUGGCUCGCCUAACCGUUCCAUCCAGUUAAUCUUUCCUACGGUGUCCGAAGUGCGAGAAAAGGGGAAGAACCCUAAUUUUUGACGCUUCUCUUCAUGUUUUGCUCCCUGGCGAUCGGAGAUUGCGGAGGAAUUCGAGGUGUUUCUUGGAUACUGGGCUCGCCAUGGCGGAAGCCGCAACCCCUCGUAGAUUCGUGGUAGGAUAUGCGCUCGCCCCCAAGAAGCAGCGGAGCUUCAUCCAGCCCUCGCUCGUCGGUCUCGCACGCGAGCGCGGCAUCGAUCUCGUUCCCAUCGAUACCUCACAGCGCCUUGCUGAUCAGGGUCCCUUCGAUUGCGUGCUCCACAAGCUCCAUGGGGAGGACUGGAAGGCCCAGCUCGAGGAUUUUUCUUCCAGGAACCCAGACGUUCCAAUUGUCGACCCGCCCCUUGCCAUCCGGCGCCUCCACAACCGCAUCUCCAUGCUCCAGGUCGUGUGUGAGCUCGAUAUCCCCCAGGAGAGGGAGACAUUUGGAAUUCCUAGGCAGGUGGUGAUCUAUGAUUCCGCGGCCCUCACAAACUCCGGGGUCGUCGGGGUCCUCCGCUUCCCGGUCAUCGCCAAGCCCCUGAUAGCUGAUGGCAGCGCCAAGUCCCAUAAGAUGUCCCUUGUUUUCUGCCAGGAUAGCCUCCGAAAGCUCAAGCCGCCACUUGUGCUGCAGGAGUUUGUGAAUCAUGGCGGGGUCAUCUUCAAGGUGUUUGUGGUGGGGGAUUACGUGCAGUGCGUGAAGAGGAAAUCCCUUCCGGAUGUCUCCCAAGAGGAAUUGGAGUGCUCUGAGGGGUCUUUCACCUUCUCGCAGGUUUCCAAUAUGACGACGCAGGAUCCAGUGGGGGUUGACUAUUACAUGAAUUUGGAUAAGGCGGAGAUGCCUCCAUUGAGCUUUGUCACGGAGAUAGCAAGAGGUUUGAGGCGGCUCAUGGGAUUGCACCUUUUCAAUUUUGACAUGAUAAGGGAUUUGAAAGCAGGAGGAAAUCAUUACCUUGUGAUUGACAUUAACUACUUUCCUGGGUAUGCAAAAAUGCCAUUCUAUGAGAAAAUUUUAACUGACUUCCUCUGGAACAUCAUUCAUGAGAACAAUGAGCAUGAUGAUGUGGACUCGGCUGUUAACAGUCACUAUAAAGAGAGCAAGCUCUUGAUUGAUAGUCAUUGACAAGAUUGCACAAGAUAUAGAGAAUGUCGGAUGAGGGUUUUAAUGCUGCCAUCCUUCUAGAAAUUUAGUUUUCCUGAUUACUUGAAAGUCCUGCAUGUAGAGUAUGUGCGGAACUAGACUUUUAUCAUACAAGUUGCAAAUGCCUUAUUCUGGUGCCUAAGCUGGACCUUUGACUUCGAUUCUAAUGCCAAUACAGUGAGGAUUCCUUUCUUUUAGUUAUCUUCAAAUAUGUGAGCAUUGAAUUUGUAAAUUUUCUUUUAUCCAUUCCCCUAUAUGUUGAGACAAAAUGUACCUAAUGUAGUGUUGAAUGAUGCUAAGAACUUGUUACAUUCCAUAUUUUGAUAUUUCUGUUUCUAACACUUAACAUUUUGCAAGAGAACAUUGGUCAUCUAUGUGCACAAUAUUGAUUUAUCCUUGGUGACCACCUGCCAAACUAAAGCUUUUACUUCCAUAGUUAUCCUUUUGCUGAACAGAAAAUUCAUGGUUUUGAAUGAUUGUAGGCAGCAAUUGAUUGGUCUGGAAGCUGCCUAGGUUUGAUACUGGGCAAUAUCUUAAUUGAUCCUAUGUUCUGCUUGUAGUAACCCCCCAUCACAGAAGCAGCACUAAUGGUGGCACUCUGCUCCAUGGUCCAUAGAUCAUUGCUUCCAUCUGCAAUGACCGCAGAUGAUAAUGAUGCAUGUCCUAAAUGUUAGAGAAGAGAAAAAAUUAAAGGAAUGAUGAGAAAGAGAAGGAAAACAAGUUUUCAUUUGCUGUAAUACAUCUGCAUAACCAAGGUUGUAAAAAUUGAAAGUCAUAGGUGGGUUUUUAAUUCAUAUUUGGUGCGUUUACAUUAUAAUGUAGUGAAUAUGAGAACAAAUAUCAAAUGGCACUACUUUAAAAAAGAAACUUUACUUGGCUUUGAAAUUUUUUUAUUUCUAGUACAAAUAGAAGCACUAAUGUGAGAUACGACAAACUAGAGGAUGCAAAGAUUCAAGGUACUGGGACUAAAAUGAAUGAUAAAGAGAAGAAAAGGAUAAAUAAUGAGAAUACUUUGAUAGGACACAUAUGAUUCAUAGGAAAACCAUAUCGACUAUGAAAAUAUAAGCAGAACAAGUUCAACCGCAUACCAGUUCUUGGUUGAUAGUGGACAAUGAUGGCACCC